ensembl:lncRNA
GAGCAGAGCCGAGACAGAGCCAGGUCCUGUGGUCCAGCCACUGACUCAUCCGCGGCAGGAGUCCCCUGUCUCUCUGGACGCCCAGUUAAAUGAGAUAAUCCACGGAGUCCGAGGAAUCCAGGUUUCUGACAACCAGCUAAGGAGUGCCACCCACAAGCCCGUGAUGGGCACAGUGGGGUGAGGAGCUUCCUGUGUGUUCCCGGCAUCCUCUGCUCCCACCCUGCAUGGUCCCCAUCACUCCACUGCAAUGGUCGGUUACCUGCGUCUCCUCCACAGACGGCUUGGGGAAAUCAAUCAACUUUCUGAGCCUAUGGGGAACAUGCGGAAAAUGAAGCCUGCCCUGAUUAUCUCAUAGGAUUGAAGUGAAAAUCAAAUGGGAUGAGGUAAGUUCAACUUUUUAAACUAUGAACAAAUGUGAGCAGUUGAUUUGCUGUGGAGGUGAAGGAAACAUGAUGUGAGAACUUAGAAUGAGAACCUACUUUCUCAAAUACCUGUAUGUAAAGUAGGCCUCUGUAAACUGGUCUGUCCAAGGCCUUGUUAAUAAUAACUGUUGAUUCCUGGUCAUUUCCUCCCAUUAUACAGUUGUAAAUGGAGGGUUGUCUUGGCAUACAAACUUUAGCGCUACGUACACCCUCAGUUCCAGUAGAUGAGUCCUUUUGAAUUAAGAAUGAGGAGUUUAGUGGCAGCUGCUAGCUGAAAUGAAAGUUUUUUGCUAAGAACAAUAAAG